UUAAGUUAUUAAGGGCGCACGGUGGAUGCCUUGGCACUAGAAGCCGAUGAAGGACGUUACUAACGACGAUAUGCUUUGGGGAGCUGUAAGUAAGCUUUGAUCCAGAGAUUUCCGAAUGGGGAAACCCAGCAUGAGUUAUGUCAUGUUAUCGAUAUGUGAAUACAUAGCAUAUCAGAAGGCACACCCGGAGAACUGAAACAUCUUAGUACCCGGAGGAAGAGAAAGAAAAUUCGAUUCCCUUAGUAGCGGCGAGCGAAACGGGAAGAGCCCAAACCAACAAGCUUGCUUGUUGGGGUUGUAGGACACUCUAUACGGAGUUAUAAAGGACGACAUUAGACGAAUCAUCUGGAAAGAUGAAUCAAAGAAGGUAAUAAUCCUGUAGUCGAAAAUGUUGUCUCUCUUGAGUGGAUCCUGAGUACGACGGAGCACGUGAAAUUCCGUCGGAAUCUGGGAGGACCAUCUCCUAAGGCUAAAUACUCUCUAGUGACCGAUAGUGAACCAGUACCGUGAGGGAAAGGUGAAAAGCACCCCGGAAGGGGAGUGAAAUAGAACCUGAAACCGUGUGCUUACAAGUAGUCAGAGCCCGUUAAUGGGUGAUGGCGUGCCUUUUGUAGAAUGAACCGGCGAGUUACGAUUUGAUGCAAGGUUAAGCAGUAAAUGUGGAGCCGUAGCGAAAGCGAGUCUGAAUAGGGCGUUUAGUAUUUGGUCGUAGACCCGAAACCAGGUGAUCUACCCUUGGUCAGGUUGAAGUUCAGGUAACACUGAAUGGAGGACCGAACCGACUUACGUUGAAAAGUGAGCGGAUGAACUGAGGGUAGCGGAGAAAUUCCAAUCGAACCUGGAGAUAGCUGGUUCUCUCCGAAAUAGCUUUAGGGCUAGCCUCAAGUGAUGAUUAUUGGAGGUAGAGCACUGUUUGGACGAGGGGCCCCUCUCGGGUUACCGAAUUCAGACAAACUCCGAAUGCCAAUUAAUUUAACUUGGGAGUCAGAACAUGGGUGAUAAGGUCCGUGUUCGAAAGGGAAACAGCCCAGACCACCAGCUAAGGUCCCAAAAUAUAUGUUAAGUGGAAAAGGAUGUGGCGUUGCCCAGACAACUAGGAUGUUGGCUUAGAAGCAGCCGUCAUUUAAAGAGUGCGUAAUAGCUCACUAGUCGAGUGACACUGCGCCGAAAAUGUACCGGGGCUAAACAUAUUACCGAAGCUGUGGAUUGUCCUUUGGACAAUGGUAGGAGAGCGUUCUAAGGGCGUUGAAGCAUGAUCGUAAGGACAUGUGGAGCGCUUAGAAGUGAGAAUGCCGGUGUGAGUAGCGAAAGACGGGUGAGAAUCCCGUCCACCGAUUGACUAAGGUUUCCAGAGGAAGGCUCGUCCGCUCUGGGUUAGUCGGGUCCUAAGCUGAGGCCGACAGGCGUAGGCGAUGGAUAACAGGUUGAUAUUCCUGUACCACCUAUAAUCGUUUUUAAUCGAUGGGGGGGACGCAGUAGGAUAGGCGAAGCGUGCGAUUGGAUUGCACGUCUAAGCAGUAAGGCUGAGUAUUAGGCAAAUCCGGUACUCGUUAAGGCUGAGCUGUGAUGGGGAGAAGACAUUGUGUCUUCGAGUCGUUGAUUUCACACUGCCGAGAAAAGCCUCUAGAUAGAAAAUAGGUGCCCGUACCGCAAACCGACACAGGUAGUCAAGAUGAGAAUUCUAAGGUGAGCGAGCGAACUCUCGUUAAGGAACUCGGCAAAAUGACCCCGUAACUUCGGGAGAAGGGGUGCUCUUUAGGGUUAACGCCCAGAAGAGCCGCAGUGAAUAGGCCCAAGCGACUGUUUAUCAAAAACACAGGUCUCUGCUAAACCGUAAGGUGAUGUAUAGGGGCUGACGCCUGCCCGGUGCUGGAAGGUUAAGAGGAGUGGUUAGCUUCUGCGAAGCUACGAAUCGAAGCCCCAGUAAACGGCGGCCGUAACUAUAACGGUCCUAAGGUAGCGAAAUUCCUUGUCGGGUAAGUUCCGACCCGCACGAAAGGCGUAACGAUUUGGGCACUGUCUCAACGAGAGACUCGGUGAAAUCAUAGUACCUGUGAAGAUGCAGGUUACCCGCGACAGGACGGAAAGACCCCGUGGAGCUUUACUGUAGCCUGAUAUUGAAAUUCGGCACAGCUUGUACAGGAUAGGUAGGAGCCUUUGAAACGUGAGCGCUAGCUUACGUGGAGGCGCUGGUGGGAUACUACCCUAGCUGUGUUGGCUUUCUAACCCGCACCACUUAUCGUGGUGGGAGACAGUGUCAGGCGGGCAGUUUGACUGGGGCGGUCGCCUCCUAAAAGGUAACGGAG
rnacentral:rRNA from 1 species